AACGAACGCUGGCGGCAGGCCUAACACAUGCAAGUCGAGCGCUGUAGCAAUACAGAGCGGCGCACGGGUGAGUAACACGUGGGAACGUGCCCUUUGGUUCGGAAUAACCCAGGGAAACUUGGGCUAAUACCGGAUGAGCCCUAACGGGGAAGGAUUUAUCGCCGAAGGAGCGGCCCGCGUCGGAUUAGCUAGUUGGAGGGGUAAAAGCCUACCAAGGCAACGAUCCGUAGCUGGUUUGAGAGAACGACCAGCCACACUGGGACUGAGACACGGCCCAGACUCCUACGGGAGGCAGCAGUGGGGAAUCUUGGACAAUGGGGGAAACCCUGAUCCAGCCAUGCCGCGUGAGUGAUGAAGGCCCUAGGGUUGUAAAACUCUUUCGGCGGGGACGAUAAUGACGGUACCCGCAGAAGAAGCUCCGGCUAACUUCGUGCCAGCAGCCGCGGUAAUACGAAGGGGGCUAGCGUUGUUCGGAAUUACUGGGCGUAAAGCGCGCGCAGGCGGUUCUUCAAGUCAGAGGUGAAAGCCC
rnacentral:rRNA from 1 species